CCUACGGGAGGCAGCAGUGAGGAAUAUUGGUCAAUGGCCGGAAGGCUGAACCAGCCAUGCCGCGUGAAGGUCAGUGCCCUAUGGGCGUUAAACCUCUUUUGUGCGGGAGCAAUAAUCGUCACGUGUGGCCAGACGAGAGUACCGUACGAAUAAGCAUCGGCUAACUCCGUGCCAGCAGCCGCGGUAAUACGGGUGGUGCAAGCGUUAUCCGGAUUUAUUUGGUUUAAAGGUGGCGUAGGGUGUGAGGUCAGUUAACGGUGAAAUGCCUCCGCUCAACGGGGUGAAGUGCCAUUGAUACUGGCUGUCUGGAGUGCGGAUGAGGUGGGAGGAAUGUGUGGUGUAGCGGUGAAAUGCAUAGAUAUCACACAGAACACCGAUUGCGAAGGCA
rnacentral:rRNA from 1 species